rnacentral:lncRNA from 1 species
AUGUCUCAGCAUUAUUAUCAUUCUUCAAACUGCAGAGACGCCAAGUUCUGUCAGGCCAAUUCUGAGCUGAAUGGAGAUCCAUCUGAGAAACAUGGGCUGCUGCUGGUACACGGGCACUGGUCAUACUACCGCAUCUGCAUCCUUCUGCGCUACUUCCUCUACAAAACCACUGCUUUUGCUCUGGUGCACAUUUGGUAUAGUUUCUACAAUGGCUUCAGUGCUCAGGUAGAGCAACUAGGUCACUUAAUCCACUUUACACCCUCCAACUCCAACCACACUGCAAAAAUAUCAGUCAUUACAGUCCAACUGAGAUAUGUUUGAGAUGUACUGUAACAUGUUUGAAGAAAGUCAGAUCAUUAUCAGUAAUCAAGACUGAAAUUCAAGCGCGAUGACUGAGACCAGAUAAGCCAUUCGCAAUUAUGUCUUAGGCAAAUUUGUUUAAUUGUAUGUUUUGUGGACAUAAAAAGAUGAUUUGAUUUGGUAAGUUAUAGUUUCAAUGAUAUGAUGAUCUAUUAAUUUAUUUAAAAACAUAUCAAAAAGUGCAGCAGAGAGAGAGAAAUAUACUACACCAAACGUCAACAUUUGAUUGAUGACUUUGACCUUUUGACCUUUACCCCUCCCCCACCCAUGUAGCUUUUACCCUAUUGACACAUAUAAUCUGUUGGUUGUAUAAAAGUAUUUAAU